GACGAACGCUGGCGGCGUGCCUAAUACAUGCAAGUAGAACGCUGAAGAGAGGAGCUUGCUCUUCUUGGAUGAGUUGCGAACGGGUGAGUAACGCGUAGGUAACCUGCCUGGUAGCGGGGGAUAACUAUUGGAAACGAUAGCUAAUACCGCAUAAAAUUGAUUAUUGCAUGAUAAUCCAUUGAAAGGUGCAACUGCACCACUACCAGAUGGACCUGCGUUGUAUUAGCUAGUUGGUGGGGUAACGGCUCACCAAGGCGACGAUACAUAGCCGACCUGAGAGGGUGAUCGGCCACACUGGGACUGAGACACGGCCCAGACUCCUACGGGAGGCAGCAGUAGGGAAUCUUCGGCAAUGGACGGAAGUCUGACCGAGCAACGCCGCGUGAGUGAAGAAGGUUUUCGGAUCGUAAAGCUCUGUUGUAAGAGAAGAACGAGUGUGAGAGUGGAAAGUUCACACUGUGACGGUAUCUUACCAGAAAGGGACGGCUAACUACGUGCCAGCAGCCGCGGUAAUACGUAGGUCCCGAGCGUUGUCCGGAUUUAUUGGGCGUAAAGCGAGCGCAGGCGGUUAGAUAAGUCUGAAGUUAAAGGCUGUGGCUUAACCAUAGUACGCUUUGGAAACUGUUUAACUUGAGUGCAAGAGGGGAGAGUGGAAUUCCAUGUGUAGCGGUGAAAUGCGUAGAUAUAUGGAGGAACACCGGUGGCGAAAGCGGCUCUCUGGCUUGUAACUGACGCUGAGGCUCGAAAGCGUGGGGGAGCAAACAGG
rnacentral:rRNA from 1 species